rnacentral:rRNA from 1 species
CCUACGGGUGGCAGCAGUGGGGAAUAUUGCACAAUGGGGGAAACCCUGAUGCAGCGACGCCGCGUGAGUGAAGAAGUAAUUCGUUAUGUAAAGCUCUAUCAGCAGGGAAGAAAAUGACGGUACCUGAGUAAGAAGCCCCGGCUAACUACGUGCCAGCAGCCGCGGUAAUACGUAGGGGGCAAGCGUUAUCCGGAUUUACUGGGGGUAAAGGGAGCGUAGACGGUAGUGCAAGUCUGGAGUGAAAUGCGGGGGCUCAAACCCCGGACUGGUCUGGAAACUGUACGGCUGGAGUGCAGGAGGGGUAAGUGGAAUUCCUAGUGUAGCGGGGAAAUGCGUA